rnacentral:rRNA from 2 species
GAUUUCUGUUCAGCAGUGUCUGGCCCGUCGAGGUUCGUCCUUUGUGCGAGUGCUGACACUUCAGCUGGGCAUCCUUGUGGUCAAAUAGUUGUAUGCUUGUCAGCAAUGGCAGGUGUAUGGCUCCACAUCUUUUACUUUGAACAAAUUAGAGUGUUUCAAGCAGGCCUUUGAGCCGUGAAUACAUUAGCAUGGAAUAAUAACAUAGGACUUCUUGUCUUAUAUUUAUUGGUGUUCUCAAGCGGGAAGUAAUGAUUGAUAGGGAUAGUUGGGGGUGCUAGUAUUGAGCGGCCAGAGGUGAAAUUCUUGGAUUCGCUCAAGACUAACUUAUGCGAAAGCAUU